rnacentral:rRNA from 1 species
AGGACGAACGCUGGCGGUGUGCUUCACACAUGCAAGUCGAACGAGGUAGCAAUACCUAGUGGCGGACGGGUGAGUAACGCGUGGGAAUCUGCCUUUAGAUGGGGGAUAACGGGCCGAAAGGUCCGCUAAUACCGCAUAGGCCGCAAGGUUAAAGGAGUAAUCCGUCUAAAGAUGAGCCCGCGUCCGAUUAGCUAGUUGGUAGGGUAAAAGCCUACCAAGGCGACGAUCGGUAGCUGGUCUGAGAGGAUGAUCAGCCACAAUGGGACUGAGACACGGCCCAUACUCCUACGGGAGGCAGCAGUGGGGAAUUUUGUGCAAUGGGCGAAAGCCUGACACAGCGACACCGCGUGAGCGAAGAAGCCCUUUGGGGUGUAAAGCUCUGUCAGCUGGAACGAAAAAAAUGACGGUACCAGCAGAGGAAGCAUCGGACUAACUACGCGCCAGCAGCCGC